UAAGACUGGAUAGGAAACAAAAAGGCAUCUUUUUGUUUUUAAAAGACCUUCUUACGAAGGUAUGCUUAAAGAGGGGCUUGCGCCACAUUAGUUAGUUGGUAGAGUAAAAGCCUACCAAGACGAUGAUGUGUAGCUGGACUGAGAGGUUGAACAGCCACAUUGGGACUGAGACACGGCCCAAACUCCUACGGGAGGCAGCAGUAGGGAAUUUUCGGCAAUGGAGGAAACUCUGACCGAGCAACGCCGCGUGAACGAUGAAGUAUUUCGGUAUGUAAAGUUCUUUUAUUGAAGAAGAAAAAGUAGUGGAAAAACUAUAUUGACGUUAUUCAAUGAAUAAGCCCCGGCUAACUAUGUGCCAGCAGCCGCGGUAAGACAUAGGGGGCGAGCGUUAUCCGGAAUUAUUGGGCGUAAAGGGUGCGUAGGCUGUUAGAUAAGUCUAUAAUUUAAUUUCAGUGCUUAACGCUGUCUUGUUAUAGAAACUGUCUUGACUAGAGUGAGAUAGAGGCAAGCGGAAUUCCAUGUGUAGCGGUAAAAUGUGUAAAUAUAUGGAGGAACACCAGAAGCGUAGGCGGCUUGCUGGGUCUUUACUGACGCUGAGGCACGAAAGCGUGGGUAGCAAACAGGAUUAGAUACCCUGGUAGUCCACGCCGUAAACGAUGAGUACUAAGUGUCGGGGUAAAACUCGGUACUGAAGUUAACACAUUAAGUACUCCGCCUGAGUAGUACGUACGCAAGUAUGAAACUUAAAGGAAUUGACGGGACUCCGCACAAGCGGUGGAUCAUGUUGUUUAAUUCGAAGAUACACGAAAAAUCUUACCAGGUCUUGACAUACUCUGCAAAGCUAUAGAAAUAUAGUGGAGGUUAUCAGGGAUACAGGUGGUGCAUGGUUGUCGUCAGUUCGUGUCGUGGGAUGUUAGGUUAAGUCCUAAAACGAACGCAACCCUUGUCGUUAAUUGCCAGCACAUAAUGGUGGGGACUUUAACGAGACUGCCAAUUAAACAUUGGAGGAAGGUGAGGAUUACGUCAAAUCAUCAUGCCCCUUAUGAUCUGGGCUACAAACGUGAUACAAUGGCUGUGACAAAGAGUAGCUGAAACGCGAGUUUUUAGCCAAUCUCAAAAAAGCAGUCUCAGUUCGGAUUGAAGUCCGUAACUCGACUUCAUGAAGUUGGAAUCGCUAGUAAUCGCGAAUCAGCAUGUCGCGGUGAAUACGUUCGCGGGGUUUGUACACACCGCCC
rnacentral:rRNA from 1 species